ensembl:lncRNA
UGUCCUCUUAAUUGGCUUUCUUUUUCUUCAUUGCCUGUAUCACCAGCUGAUAUUUCAUAUAUUUCUAUGUUUGUGUGGUCUGUCUGCCCUUUCUUCACUGUAAUCUUUAUGAAGGCUGAAAUUUUGGAGUAUCGAGUUCACUGUCGUAUCCCAACAGCUAGAGUAGUCCCUUGUGCAUAGUGGGUGCUUAAUAAAUGUUUAUUGAAUGAAAGGUUCACUUCCUGGAGGCAAGAACUAACCAGGCAGGUGAGAAGAGAAGAUUCUGGGGAGACGAAAUGGCAACUGAAAGCCACUCAUAGAGUGAGGUUGUAAAGAGCUCACCAAAACGCAUUACAAAGCCAUUCACUGUCCCAGCAAGAUGCUUCAAAACCAGGCUCAGAACUAAUCCCAAAAGAGGGCGUCUUGACCCAAGUUCACAAUGCAUGUGAACAAGUCACCUGGCAUUUGCCAGGAGGCCUUAGUUCCAUGCAAACUAGGAAACUAACAAAGUUCCGCUGAGUGUGUGGCCCAUUAAUAAGGGCCACUGACUCCCAAAGACUCUGGGAUUUAGAUACUCAACCUCCACAAUGAGGCUGCUUCAUGCUCCUCUUGUUUCUUCCACUGAAGCAUCCCAAAGUGCUUUCCCAGGGUGGAUUAUUCAUCCCAUUAGGUGGAUGAGGCUCAGUGAAGCCAAGUCUUGCCUGCAGACACCCAGCAAGUCAGUUCUUGAGGUCGGAAUUGAGACCCAGACCCCCCAGCUGUAUUGUGGCCAGGGGAUAGCACUCUCUGGGAGACUCCAUAGGACAGCAGAGGCCAUGAGGCAAGCUUCUUGCAUGGGAACUGAAGCAGAUGAAGGGGCUGGGGCAGGCGCGGGGGUGGAGCACUGCAGAGCCAUCAGCAGAGCAGGAAAAACAACUCAGCACUCAUCCUACCUGAGGUGUGUCAGUGGCAUUUUCUUUCUAAAUGAAGGACAUCAGUACCAAGAUUGUAGUUGUAUAAUCAUAAAAUGUUAGAGUUGGAAGGGGCCCUGGGAGAGCAUAAGUCCAAUUUCUUUUGUUUCCUAAUGAGGAAAUAGAGAUUCAGAAAGACUAACGCACUGCUCAAGGUCACACAGUUGGCUCACGCCAGAGCGAGGACUGGAGCUCAGGUAUCUUAAACAUUGACCCUGUGCUCUUUCCAAAUGCCAGAAGUUCUCACAAUAACUGCCUGUUCUUUGACAGCAGCUUGAAACCAAGUAAAUCAUCAUCUCAAACAUUAGCUAGCUUUUCCCCUCUGCUUUCCUACCAUCUCAACUGAAAUGGCAUGAAGAAACCAGAGGUGAAGAGGCGGUGUACCCUGCACAGGCCUGUAAUCUAAGACUUAAAACCUCCUGAAUCUUCUGCUCAUUUGGUUUUGGAGCCAAAAUUAACACAGCCGUGGAAAGAAAUGCUGGGAACUCUCAGAGAGGUGCUUGGAGAGCCAGCUCCUGGGAGCUGGUGAACCUGGUCUCACCAACAAGGUCAGGCCCACUCGGGGGCAGGUAUCUAAGGGAGACGUGUCUGGAACAGUGUUCUCAGGCUUCUUGCCUGGGCCUUCCAUUCCACUGAGUGAUGAUCAUGGCUCUCAGCAGAGGUGGCAGCUGCCAACGGGAG